rnacentral:rRNA from 1 species
AACGUAGGACGCGAGCGUUAUCCGGAGUUACUGGGCGUAAAGCGCGGGCAGGCGGUCUGACAAGUCUGAUGUGAAAUCUCCGGGCUUAACCGGGAGAGGCCAUUGGAAACUGACAGGCUGGAGGGCAGUAGAGGUAGGCGGAAUUCCGGGUGGAGUGGUGAAAUGCGUAGAGAUCCGGAGGAACACCAGAGGCGAAGGCGGCCUACUGGGCUGCACCUGACGCUGAGCCGCGAAAGCCAGGGGAGCGAACAGG